GAUGAACGCUGGCGGCGUGCCUAAUACAUGCAAGUCGAGCGAACAGACGAGGAGCUUGCUCCUCUGACGUUAGCGGCGGACGGGUGAGUAACACGUGGAUAACCUACCUAUAAGACUGGGAUAACUUCGGGAAACCGGAGCUAAUACCGGAUAAUAUAUUGAACCGCAUGGUUCAAUAGUGAAAGACGGUUUUGCUGUCACUUAUAGAUGGAUCCGCGCCGCAUUAGCUAGUUGGUAAGGUAACGGCUUACCAAGGCGACGAUGCGUAGCCGACCUGAGAGGGUGAUCGGCCACACUGGAACUGAGACACGGUCCAGACUCCUACGGGAGGCAGCAGUAGGGAAUCUUCCGCAAUGGGCGAAAGCCUGACGGAGCAACGCCGCGUGAGUGAUGAAGGUCUUCGGAUCGUAAAACUCUGUUAUUAGGGAAGAACAAAUGUGUAAGUAACUAUGCACGUCUGGACGGUACCUAAUCAGAAAGCCACGGCUAACUACGU
rnacentral:rRNA from 1 species